rnacentral:rRNA from 1 species
GCGCGGCUACCAUGCAAGUCGAGCGAGAUCUUCGGAUCUAGCGGCGGACGGGUGAGUAACGCGUGGGAACGUGCCCUUCUCUACGGAAUAGUCCCGGGAAACUGGGUUUAAUACCGUAUACGCCCUUCGGGGGAAAGAUUUAUCGGAGAAGGAUCGGCCCGCGUUGGAUUAGGUAGUUGGUGGGGUAAUGGCCUACCAAGCCGACGAUCCAUAGCUGGUUUGAGAGGAUGAUCAGCCACACUGGGACUGAGACACGGCCCAGACUCCUACGGGAGGCAGCAGUGGGGAAUCUUAGACAAUGGGCGCAAGCCUGAUCUAGCCAUGCCGCGUGAGUGACGAAGGCCCUAGGGUCGUAAAGCUCUUUCACCAGGGAUGAUAAUGACAGUACCUGGAGAAGAAACCCCGGCUAACUCCGUGCCAGCAGCCGCGGUAAUACGGAGGGGGUUAGCGUUGUUCGGAAUUACUGGGCGUAAAGCGCGCGUAGGCGGGCUGUUAAGUCGGGGGUGAAAUCCCGGGGCUCAACCCCGGAACUGCCCUCGAUACUGGCAGCCUAGAGUUCG